CGCCCGCCGCGCGCGGCGGGCCUACGGGAGGCAGCAGUGGGGAAUAUUGCACAAUGGGCGCAAGCCUGAUGCAGCCAUGCCGCGUGUAUGAAGAAGGCCUUCGGGUUGUAAAGUACUUUCAGCGGGGAGGAAGGUGUUGAGGUUAAUAACCUCAGCAAUUGACGUUACCCGCAGAAGAAGCACCGGCUAACUCCGUGCCAGCAGCCGCGGUAAUA
rnacentral:rRNA from 1 species